GAAGUUAUUCAUAGUGAUAGAUAACUUUUAUGUUUAAUGCGGCCGCCGAUAGGUGAUGGUUCCAAGCCCAUAAAACGCAGAGGAAACA
rnacentral:ribozyme from 1 species